rnacentral:misc_RNA from 1 species
GCGAAGGGCUACAACACAUUAUAAACACGAAUAGGCUACAUGCAGUCUGCAAUGGAUUAAUUUUGUUGGUUAUCUUUUCUUUUCAGUAUUCUUUUAUGUAGUUGUAGUUUUAGAUUAGAAUCUUAGAUUUUCAUUAUUAUUACAAUGACAAGUGUGCCAUCUGAGGAAGAAACGGGAAAUCCCAUCGAUGAUGUAGCCGAAACAGAAAAGUUUGAGUUUGGGAAAGGAUACGAUUUAACUUAUUUUAAAGAUAUUAGGGAGAAAUAUCGAGGAAAAAGAAAGGCAAGAAGAAGAACUGCACAAGGCCUUGUUGAAAUUCCCAGUUAUCCAACCCGCCCAGCCCUUUGGUUGGAUUUUAAAAAGUCCAAAGGAACCUGCAGCUCCAGACGUACAUCCAUUCACAGCAUUCCUUCGAAAAUGGAAUGGACCAUUUUACGCUGUCUGCAUCCCAAAAUGUACAGGAAUGGUCCACUGACGUCAGUGGGUAUGGGAAUCUUGCAGGUGAGUUUAUGAAAACACCAGAAUGUCAUGCUGCAGUAGUCGCUUGGACUGCGUUGGUUAAAAAAUACCAAUUGAAAAGGGAAACAGAUUCAGGCUGAUGUUGAAUCCGACUUUUUGGAUGAAGACACGUUCGCCUACGACAUUGAAAAUGGCAUCGAAGACCUUCUAUUAGAUAAUAUUCAAGAAGAUGGUGAUGAGGAAAAUGAAGCAUACGAAGAAGAUAGCGAAGAGGAGACUGCUGAUUACCAGGAUUACAGCGACGAAGAGACAAACGAUUAUCAAGACUACGCUGACGAGGACAAUGAAGGAAACAAUUAAUAUCGAUCGUUUAAAACUCUCUUAUAUAUAGUUAUGCUAAUCCUGUAAUUAGGGCUACUUUUGAAAUGGAGCUAUUGAUGAAAGGGAAUAAAAGUAUAAUUAUGAGGUU